UCGUAACAAGGUCUCCGUAGGUGAACCUGCGGAGGGAUCAUUACACAAAUAUGAAGGCGGGCUGGAACCUCUCGGGGUUACAGCCUUGCUGAAUUAUUCACCCUUGUCUUUUGCGUACUUCUUGUUUCCUUGGUGGGUUCGCCCACCACUAGGACAAACAUAAACCUUUUGUAAUUGCAAUCAGCGUCAGUAACAAAUUAAUAAUUACAACUUUCAACAACGGAUCUCUUGGUUCUGGCAUCGAUGAAGAACGCAGCGAAAUGCGAUAAGUAGUGUGAAUUGCAGAAUUCAGUGAAUCAUCGAAUCUUUGAACGCACAUUGCGCCCUUUGGUAUUCCAAAGGGCAUGCCUGUUCGAGCGUCAUUUGUACCCUCAAGCUUUGCUUGGUGUUGGGCGUCUUGUCUCUAGCUUUGCUGGAGACUCGCCUUAAAGUAAUUGGCAGCCGGCCUACUGGUUUCGGAGCGCAGCACAAGUCGCACUCUCUAUCAGCAAAGGUCUAGCAUCCAUUAAGCCUUUUUUUCAACUUUUGACCUCGGAUCAG
rnacentral:rRNA from 1 species